AGCUGGAUCAUUUUUCCGAAUGUGACAAAAACAAAAACAAAACCCUUUAAGGGAGGAGUGAAAACGCUCUGCGGCUCACUCGCUCUCACAACAAAACAAAACAAAAAGCAGCGAGAAGCUUUUUUCCCCUUUCGUCAAAAAAAGGGGGGGAAAACCUUUACCUGCCCCACCACUUUCAAAGGAAGGAGAGAGCAUUUAGCGCUCUUCUUGGGUGGCAUCCAAAACGUGUCGCGAUGGAUGACUUGGCUUCCCAUAUCUGUGAAGAACGCAGCAAAGUGCGAUAAGUGGUAUGUAUUGCAGAAUCAUUCCAUUACUGAAUCUUUGAACGCAAAUGGCGCUCGGGAGCAACCCUUCUAGGGUCAUCCCCGUGCAUGCCGUAUUCUCAGUGUCGAAAAAACAAAACUCAAAAAAUCUGGAGAAAAAAAUUGGUAGGAGAAGGAGGCUUCACCGUUUUCCCUUCUAUCCUUUUUUCUUUCUGGACUUGAGGUUUCUCGAAGUUGUGUCCCUUUAAACUUCUUAAAACAAAGGUUACGGCGGGCACAAUUCGGGGCUCUUUGGCGUUUUCCCUGUAAAACGGGAAAUUCAAGAAAGCGCUCAAAGACAAAAACAACACAAAAACAAUUGCGUGUUCGUUUUUACUCAAAAAACAACCUUUGAAAACAAUGAACUUUGUUUUUCCUAUUCACUUAGGGAAAAUAUAUGUUUACGUUUAUCACUGACCUGAGUACGGUAGGACCACCCGCCGAACUUAAGCAUAUUACUCAGCGGAGGAAAAGAAAACAACCGUGAUUCCCUUAGUGAGCGGCGAGCGAACAGGGAACAAACUCGAUGCCGAAUCGGGCUUUACAAAGCCUUGAGCUGUGGCACAACCGUCCCGUGACUGGUUAGGGGGGUGGCAAAAUUCAACGUGCAAAGCAAACCCAUUGUUGAAUACAACCCUUCAUGUGAGUAUUGAGCCAUAGUAGGUGAAAGCCCACUCUAGCCACCUGAACAACCCCAAGCCUCAUUGGAUGGUUACAAGAGAGUAGCACUGUUUGGGAAUGCAGUGUCAAUAGGCAGGUAUGUGUCUGCCAAGGUUAAAUAUAAAAUGGGAAGACCGAUAGCAAACAAGUAGUGUGAACGAAAGUUUGAAAAGCACUUUGGAAAGAGAGUGACAUAGAACCUGAAGUCGUGACAAUGACAAUGAACGUACCUCCAUUUUUGUCAAGCUCAGCCCUGCAGCAUUAUCCGGCGGUCCGCUCCAAUUGCGGAGUGACGCUGUCGGUAACAAGUGUUGGAAUGGGGUCUGGGGGUAGGAGCCGGGGUAAAGGUGCGAGUUCUGCUUUGCAGUGAACCGCUCCCUUCCCGGUAGACUCAACAAAUUGACGCUCUGAAAAUGGGGUACCUUCACCCGUCUUGAAACACGGACCAAGGAGUCAAACAGACACGCAAGAGGGAAGAUAUUGUUGCCAGUACUUCUCUCGUACUUAAAGGGAUGCGUUUCGCAUUGGUGUGCACACUGCCCAACACCGACCGCCUUCUUCGGAGGGUGAGUCUGAGUGUGCCUGUUUGGACCCGAAAGGUGGUGAACUAUGCCUGAACAAGGUGAAGUCCGGGGAAACUCGGAUGGAGGCCUGUAGCGGUGCUGACGUGCAAAUCGCUCGCAUGAUUUGGGUAUCGGAGCGAAAGACUCAUCGAACCACCUAGUAGCUGGUUCACAU
rnacentral:misc_RNA from 1 species